AAUACAGGUUAUGGUUACCACAGAAACCCAGAUGUGGUUGCUGGAAAUAGGUGGCCUGGAGAUCUAAGCCAACAAGGGAUUAAUUUGAUGUAAUUCAAUCUCUUGUCUAAUACAAGUCUAAUUGCCUUAACAUUAUAUUUACUGAUUGCUUAAUUUGGAUGGAAGAGAAGAAUUUUUUUCUCUCUCAAUAAGUGUGAAUUAGAAUCCCCAGAUGGUUUCACAGAGGAGAUGAAGUUAUUCAUUUCAUUUUAAUGGCCUUCCAUGACUUCAGUUCAAUUGUUGGUAAAAUAUAGUGUUGCCCAGUAAGUCGACACCCCGGUUUAAUGAGUUUCUUGGGGAAAUUAUUACAAGAUAGCACAGACCUAAGCAGCAGCCCCCGUUUUUAAAAACAUAUCAUGUGAUAUUUAUUUUCUUGCACUGUGCAUUUCCUAUCAUUAUAUCUUAUUUCUGGGAUUUACAUCUCUCUAGAACAAAUAAAGCAUUCACGAUGACUACAUAUGUUAAAAUAUCUCCCCUCUAGAGCAAGGUCCAGCGUGAGCCUCCAACCUGUGCUUAGAAGAUGGCUUUGCGCGCUCUCAAGACAGCAUUUAUCCUGCUUGUGCAUGGGCCUAAUAUUUAUGACACCCAAAGAGCUAAGGAAGAGAGCUGCAGCAAGAGCUCCAGAAAAGAGGUGAUAUUGCUGUAAACUGUGAGGGAAGAGUUGGCCAGCAGAAAAGAGAUGUGGUCAAAGAGGUAAGACCUCAGUGGUUCAUUGUACUCACCGCUUCCUUAAGAUGGCUCUAGUAUUACAAUAACUCCCUCUACCUUUUCUCUUUCCCCUCCCUCCCUCCCUCCUUUCCUUCCUUCCUUCCUUCUUACCUUCCUUCCUUUCUUCCUUCUUUCCUUCUUUCCUUCCCUCUCUCCCUUCUCUCCCCGCCCCCCCCCUCUGGUUUUAAAUAUUUUGUGUGUUUAUCUGUUACUCGCAAUGGGAAAAUCUUUUACUAAGACAGGAUAGAAUCUCCAGUGAUGAACAUCAUUCUAGUAUUAGAACAGGGACAGUGGUUGUGGGUUUGUGCUUCAAAAAUUCAAAAAAGAAAUAGAAAUUUCUUGUAGAUGGGGGUCUUAGCUUUAGUAGAACAAAUGAAUUCAUUUUCAAAGUUUUUCAUUUUGUUGAGAGAAUAAGUUGUUUACUGUGAAUUUCCAGGUAGAAUUUCAUAUUUAGAAGGGUAAAUUAAGGAUCCUAGUUUAUAGAGAAAAUUUUUACUUUUAUUUUCUUUCAUUAUCUGACACCAUAUUUUCCACACUGAACCAAUUAUCUGCAAGUUAUUCUGUAAAGACUUCACCCAGGGGCUUGCAUUGUGGCGUAGCAGGUUAAGUCACCUCUGAUGCCAGCAUCCUCCAUGAGCAUCGAUCUAAAUUCCAGCUGCUCCACUUUCAAUCAGCUCCCUGCUAACACACCUGCGAAAGCCAGGGAAGCUGGCCCAAGUAUGUAGGCCCCUGCUACCCAUGUGGGAGAUCUGCUUGGAGUUCCAGGCUCCUGGCUUCAACCUGGCCCAACCCUGGCCAUGGUGGCCAUUUGGGAUUGAACCAGUGGAUGAAAGAUCUUUUUCUCUCUCUCUGUUUCUCUCUCCCUUGUAACUCUGCCUUUCAAAUAAAUACAAUAAAUCUUAAAAAAAAAAAGUAUCC
ensembl:lncRNA